rnacentral:rRNA from 1 species
CGGAGGAAAAGAAACUAACAAGGAUUCCCCUAGUAACUGCGAGUGAAGCGGGAAGAGCUCAAAUUUUGAAUCUGGCGGUCUUUGGCCGUCCGAGUUGUAAUCUAGAGAAGCGUUUUCCGCGCUGGACCGUGUAUAAGUCUCCUGGAAGGGAGCGUCAUAGAGGGUGAGAAUCCCGUCUUUGACACGGACUACCAGUGCUAUGUGAUGCGCUCUCGACGAGUCGAGUUGUUUGGGAAUGCAGCUCAAAAUGGGUGGUAAAUUCCAUCUAAAGCUAAAUACAGGCGAGAGACCGAUAGCGAACAAGUACCGUGAGGGAAAGAUGAAAAGAACUUUGGAAAGAGAGUUAAACAGUACGUGAAAUUGCUGAAAGGGAAACGCUUGAUGUCAGUCGCGUCGGCCAGGGAUCAACCUUGCUUCUCGCUCGGUGUACUUCCUGGUCGACGGGUCAGCAUCAGUUUCGGUCGCCGUACAAGGGCGAGGGGAAUGUGGCACUCUUCGGGGUGUGUUAUAGCCUUUCGUCGUAUGCGGCGCUCGGGACUGAGGAACUCAGCAUGACUUCGCGUCUGUGCUUAGGAUGCUGGCAUAAUGGCCUUAAGCGACCCGUCUUGAAACACGGACCAAGGAGUCUAACAUGCCUGCGAGUGUUUGGGUGCCAAACCCGAGCGCGUAAUGAAAGUGAAAGUUGAGACCUCUGUCGUGGAGGGCAUCC